AACGGCGGCCGUAACUAUAACGGUCCUAAGGUAGCGAAAUUCCUUGUCAGGUAAGUUCUGACCCGCACGAAAGGCGUAAUGAUUUGGGCACUGUCUCGACAAUGUACCCGGCGAAAUUGUAGUACUAGUGAAGAUGCUAGUUACCUGCGACAAGACAGAAAGACCCCAUGGAGCUUUACUGUAGUUUGAUAUUGGGUUUUGGUAAUUUAUGUACAGGAUAGGUGGGAGACAGAGAAGGAUGUGCGUCAGCAUAUCUGGAGUCAACGUUGGGAUACCACUCUUAAGUUAUUGAAAUUCUAACUUGUGAUCAUAAACUGGUCAGAGGACAAUGUCAGACGGGCAGUUUGACUGGGGCGGUCGCCUCCAAAAGAGUAACGGAGGCGCCCAAAGGUUCCCUCAGUGCGGACAGAAAUCGCACAAAAGAGUGUAAAGGCAGAAGGGAGCUUAACUGGAAGAUAGACAUAUCGAGCAGAUACGAAAGUAGGGCUUAGUGAUCCGGUGGAAUUGAAUGGAAAAGCCAUCGCUCAACGGACAAAAGUUACCCUGGGGAUAACAGGCUUAUCUCCCCCAAGAGUUCACAUCGACGGGGAGGUUUGGCACCUCGAUGUCGGCUCAUCGCAUCCUGGAGCGGAAGUACGUUCCAAGGGUUGGGCUGUUCGCCCAUUAAAGCGGUACGCGAGCUGGGUUCAGAACGUCGUGAGACAGUUCGGUCCUUAUCUGUCGCAGGCGGAAGAUAUUUGAAGGGAGCUGUCCUUAGUACGAGAGGACCAGGAUGGACAUACCGAUGGUUUAUCAGUUGUCACACCAGUGGCAUGGCUGAGUAGCCAAGUAUGGAAGGGAUAAACGCUGAAAGCAUCUAAGUGUGAAGCCCACCCUAAGAUAAGAUAUCUCAUACCGUAAGGUAGUAAGAUUCCAUAAAGACUAUGUGGUUGAUAGGUUGGAGGUGUAAGUACAGUAAUGUAUUGAGCUGACCAAUACUAAUAAAUCGAGGGCUUAACCAC
rnacentral:rRNA from 1 species